rnacentral:rRNA from 1 species
UACGUAGGUGGCAAGCGUUGUCCGGAUUUACUGGGCGUAAAGAGCGCGCAGGCGGUCGUUCAAGUCGCGUGUGAAAGCCCCCGGCUCAACUGGGGAGGGUCACGCGAUACUGAUCGACUCGAAGGCAGGAGAGGGUAGUGGAAUUCCCGGUGUAGUGGUGAAAUGCGUAGAUAUCGGGAGGAACACCAGUGGCGAAGGCGGCUCGCUGGGCCGGUCCUGACGCUGAGACGCGAAGGCGUGGGGAGCGAACGGG